UGGGGAAUAUUGGACAAUGGGCGAAAGCCUGAUCCAGCCAUGCCGCGUGUGUGAAGAAGGUCUUCGGAUUGUAAAGCACUUUAAGUUGGGAGGAAGGGCAGUAAGCGAAUACCUUGCUGUUUUGACGUUACCGACAGAAUAAGCACCGGCUAACUCUGUGCCAGCAGCCGCGGUAAUACAGAGGGUGCAAGCGUUAAUCGGAAUUACUGGGCGUAAAGCGCGCGUAGGUGGUUCGUUAAGUUGAAUGUGAAAGCCCCGGGCUCAACCUGGGAACUGCAUCCAAAACUGGCGAGCUAGAGUAGGGCAGAGGGUGGUGGAAUUUCCUGUGUAGCGGUGAAAUGCGUAGAUAUAGGAAGGAACACCAGUGGCGAAGGCGACCACCUCGGCUCAUACUGACACUGAGGUGCGAAAGCGUGGGGAGCAAACAGG
rnacentral:rRNA from 1 species